rnacentral:rRNA from 1 species
UACGUAGGGCGCAAGCGUUGUCCGGAAUUAUUGGGCGUAAAGAGCUCGUAGGCGGUUUGUCGCGUCGGCUGUGAAAACCUAGGGCUCAACCCUGGGCUUGCAGCCGAUACGGGCAAACUAGAAUUCGGUAGGGGAGACUGGAAUUCCUGGUGUAGCGGUGAAAUGCGCAGAUAUCAGGAGGAACACCGGUGGCGAAGGCGGGUCUCUGGGCCGAUAUUGACGCUGAGGAGCGAAAGCGUGGGGAGCGAACAGG